UACAAAUUUUUGGAGUUAAAUAUCAGUAAGUAUCUGUGUUUUUCAUUAUAUAUACAAUCAAACUCAUUUAUUUACAUAUAACAUUAUCAAUACAUUUUUCAGGGAUGGCAAGAUAUCAUUUCUUCUUGGCAGCUGCUGCUAUCGAAGAAAAACAAGACAGAAAACUUCAACGCCGAGCCAUAAGGGAUGCAUGCAACCCGUUUGAUAAGCCCGACGAGGAGUUAUGGCGCAUAUAUAGGGUGCGGAAAGAAUUAGCACUCUAUGUGUGCUGAACUAUACUAUGGAUUGCCGGCACAUCUUAAAGUAAAGAUAUAAUGUUGCACUAUUCCUCAAAUCAUUCCCGCUACCUUUACCACCUUGAUCAUAAUCAUUAUUUCAUAAUGAUAUACCUACUUACAAGUCUUUGUCUUAGGUUUUAACAUCACUGCACCUAUUGGCUGGCGGUAGUUACUAACGGGGAACUGGAAAAGACCAUGGCUUGUCCAUUGCUCAGUCUACCGUCAGCCGGUACUUGGAUCAAUUUGUAAUUGUGGUGAAUAGAAGACUCAAGGACACUUGGAUAGUCUUCCCAGAAAAUGAGAGGUGUUCAGGAGGCAUAUGGGGUUGCUAACAUUUUAGGCACAGUAGACUGCACCCAAGUAAAAAUAUUUCCAUAACCUUUACCGCAUGGCGUACAGUUUCUAAACAGAAAAGGAAUUCAUUCGCUAAACGUUCAGUUGAAAUCUUCCAAUAAAAGGCGAACCUGAAGCGGAAAUGGAAGGGGGAGCUGCUCGAGGGAUGCAUUACAUGCAAAGAAGCGUGCCCUAUUAAUAAAUAAAUAUUUCGCCUAGUAUUAUUUUA